rnacentral:rRNA from 1 species
CUCGUAGGUGGCCAACUAAGUCAGACGUGAAAUCCCUCGGCUUAACCGGGGAACUGCGUCUGAUACUGGAUGGCUUGAGUUUGGGAGAGGGACGCGGAAUUCCAGGUGUAGCGGUGAAAUGCGUAGAUAUCUGGAGGAACACCGGUGGCGAAGGCGGCGUCCUGGACCAACACUGACACUGAUGAGCGAAAGCCAAGGGGGAGCAAACG